UUUAUUUUGGAAUUCACACAGGUAAUCUUCACCUAAACUCACGCACAAGAUAACACAACAAAUGCAAGGACUAUAGUGGACUAAAAAACGGUCAAAUCUGUAAAAAAUUAACACGCAUUCAAUACAACCUGUAUACCUGAAUCGAUAAUUCUGUAACUAUUCAAAACAUCCAGGGACACAUCCACUUUUCUGUACAUAUUACCAUGACCUUACCCACUGGAUACACACACAGUGCAUAGUUGAACAUUUAAUGCCUCACCAAACGCACACAUUGCAUAGUUGAACAUUUAAUGCCUCACCAAACGCACACAUUGCAUAGUUGAACAUUUAAUGCCUCACCAAACGCAGAUGAAUGUGAGGGUCGUGCUUAAAUAGCCUCACAUAACGCUGCAAUGUUUGGUUGUAUUGGAGAUAGUUUCAGUCUUAUAUAAUUUUCCGCAUAUCGUUUUUGCCUGAACUUUGUCAUACUUCAUGCUGUUGAGCGCUGAGAACCUAUAUGAGGCUCUCUCAUUCAGAAAUAGGUGGGUGGCAUGAGUUGGUGGAAGAAAAGGGAAAACAAAUCCAGUUAUCUCUGUUGUCUGUUUCGGGGGAAGUACGCGCGUAACUGUAUACAAGGUGUUUCUCUAAAUCAAAUUUUACACUGUCCACAGUUCUGAGUCUCGUUUGCGCAAACAAAAUCGUGCGGUAAACUUGAGUGUCGUUCUUGUUGACACUGUAAGACCAGAGACCCAGCUUUUUAAUCAUGGCCUCAAUUUUGUCCCUCACAUUAAAUAUCGUCGCUGAGAGGCCCUGCAGUCCGAGAAUCAGUUCAUUCAGGCGAGUAUAAAUAUCCCACAAAUAGGCCAACCUCGUGAGCUGCUCAUCGUAAUGCGACGUGCCACACAGAUGAAAAGGCUGGUCGAUGAAAAGAACCGUGAAUCUCGGCCUUCAAUUCAAAAUAACCGUGCCAAGACGUUUCCCCUUGAUAGCCACCGCACAUCAGCAUGGAGCAACAGCGGUAAAUGAUUGCUGUUGGCUUGAGUUUAGGGGCCUUUAUCAAAGUUCACCAUUCUCCCCGUAUCAUUCAAUAAUUCAGGCAGGCUGUCAGGCAUUCCCUUGGCAGCAAGCGCUUCUCUGUGGAUGCUGCAAUGUACCCAAGAUGCAUUUGUCCAACUGUAUUGCAUGUAAUUCACUGGCUUGUAUGCGAGGUACUAGCUGUUUCAAUAGUGUUGUCUGACGACGGGUAUCUUCUGAAAAGCCUAUUUGGCUACAGCUAACAUCAGACCAGUUGAUCAUACCUGUAUGACCUGAGCAGCUUCGCUAGCAGCCCCAGUCGAGCUGUAGCUACCAUACGAUUUCUUUAAUUCAGAAAACUCGAGAGACCACACAGUUAACGACGGGUCAAGAUAAAGGAACCGCUUUGUUCGUUUUGGAAAGAAAACACCAAUAUUCACGUACCCACAACACAGGAUAUUCUGGAAAAAACUCAUCAGAGCCAUGGACAGAAUGGAUUCGUCACUGACCAGAGUCAGAAUGGUGAACAAAUCAGUCAGAAGUCUGCAAAAUAGUUUCCUUCCAGAAACAAAGCGACCAACAUAGUUAAAUGCAUCUUUAUCUAUCGUUAUGUGUCUCACGUUUCCUACAUUUGAAAAAGUGUCUAGUUGGUGACAGGCAUCAGCUACAGUAAAACUGUUGCUAGCACAGUCCCACUUUACAUAUCCAUAUAGCCUACAGGGAAAUAUGGUAAUGCAGUUCCAAGUGCUUUCUAUGGCCUUACGAAAGUGACAAACAACGGGUACCGGAGAACAGGUGCCCAGCGAAGUCCUUGCCUUUCUUUGACGUGCAUAAAUAGAUGUCGGGAUCUCAAGGUGAAAAGGCUGCAUACGCAUACCAGUCAUAAAUCAAACCCACCUUCCAAACCAUAGACAGUGCAUGAUUGUCUGUUGUUUUUUUUUGUGUUUAUUUUACAUCAAAUUACUCGAAAACUGGUGGUUUAGUGAAAUGUUAAUUUAAAUGUUAUUUAAUCUUAAUUAUACGACAAUAUGGUUGUUAUGAACACCUACAGGAACUGAAAAGGUUAAAUUAAGUAGAUGUUUACUGAUACACAUGAUAAACGAAUAAACUUAAUAGAGAGUUUAGACGUUUUCUAUGCUUAAUUUCCCCUAAAUAGAGGUAACAGAGCUUCAUAUAUUAAAGCCUAUUGACAAUUUAACUACUUCUGAGCUACUAAAACCAUACAGAGAUUGCAAAUUAUGGAGACCUUUUCAUUUUCAAUUUUUCAAAGCAUUUUCAAAAAGCCUUCACCUCAGGCUAGUAAAUCACAUAACCUAAAAAAAUGCAUAACUACACGCAUACGGGCGCACACACACACACAAGCACACACACACACACACACACACACACACACACACACACACACACACACACACACACACACACACACACACACACACCUUCAUACUUUAAUAAGUGAAAUUGUUUCAACCAACAAGAUAAUCAAAAUAUUCUUCAUAAAAUAUCAUUUAAAUCUGGUUUAGUCUAUAAUUUUACUCUAGGAGACAUAGAGAGGAAGCAGUCACUACAUGUUGUAUUUUUGUUACAGUUCCCAUUAUUUAUUUCACAUUGUCUGACCAGCAGUUGAUAUGUCAAAAGAAAAAAAUAAAAUAAACAUUGUCAGAACACCAACUGUAAAAACGCAACGUAGAAACACAAUAACCUACUGUGCUUUAAAACGAAAUGUCAUGACAGAUUUAGUCACUAUAGCAUUUUACAUGAAUUUCACCCACUGGGAUAACAUUUGAUUCGAGAACUGAAUUGGCACAGCGUGCUACUCCACCACGUUUUCUAUCGGGAAGCAUUGUCCCCAGUAAUACAAGCCAAAGUACCGUCAUACUUGAGGUUACAGCUAAUCCCAAACAAACGCCACCAAUCAUGCCUAGAUCCAAUGUGUUGGAGCCAAUCGACAGACAGGAAAUAUCUACCUUUUUUCUUCAAAAGGGAAGAACAAGUAGGCCUACACUGAAAUAUAAAAAAAAUAUGUCACCGAUGUUCUUUAACAAAUAAAAUAUAAGAAAAAUGUACGUAUUGAGUGAAAAGUGAUAAUACCCUGUUAAAACAAUUCUGAACAAAACAUAAAUAAGUUAAGGACCCUGACAAUCCCUAUAAUACAGUCUCAUACACGAUUAUACAGAAUUACAUUAUGAAAAUGUCAUGCAGAUUUUAUUUUCUAGUUGUGAAAACAAUAGCAACCAAUGUGCCUCAGACAUCUUCUGUGAAGAACUGUUUACAAAAUGUCCUCAUGAAAACGAAAUGCAAUAAAUCAGCAGCACUUGUUUUGUAAUAUGCAACAAUCUGAGUACAGUUACAAAGAACUCUUGGUUUACUUUCAAACUGAAGGAUGGGGUUGGCUUUUCCCCAUCAGAAAGUGUUUGUGUUGUGAAGGCGUGUGUGUUGGGACUGCUGACAAACACAAGCAUCCAUAACAAAGCGUUUCUAACGGCACUCAACUGAAUAAACGAGAGAGAAAGGGAGACGGAUGGUUUUGGGGCUUCGAAGCGUCUCCUACCGCAGAAAAAACGCUGAACUCCAGACCGUCUACCCCCAGCGGCAGGUUCAGAGCGAGCUCAGCCGAGGUAACCGCGGCACGUAAACAACGACUUUCUUGAUUUCUCCGAGGUGUCGCGUCUCCGGCUCGAGAGAAACUCUCAUCCAUGGGAGCGUGCCCCGGUAACCAGGGAAAGUAUAGUGCUGUGGUGGCCAGAUCUAAUGUAAUCCACUGAUAAUCUCCCAGGAUUGGUUUUAAAUAACUGCCUUGCAUAAUGAUUACGAAUCUCAUAAAUAUGAUAGAUGUUAGAUGAAUUACAGUGAACCAUGUAGAUAAUAUAGUUUGGUGUAAUCUUCUUCCAAUUAGGAACCUACACGGUAUUUAAUCCGAUAGCGAUGCAUUGGUUUCGAUGUGAAAGAGACCUAAAAUGUUUGUUUUUUAAAAUGUCCACUUCUUCUUUGUGCUGCUGAUUGGAUACCUAAGCAACAAGGUUGCUGGUUGCUUAUUAGGGUAAGCUCAUUAAUGUCAACAGGUCCAUUUUUGAGUCUGGAGUUGUACGCCCCUUUCACAUAUACCUCCCGGUAAAUUACUGGGAUAACAUAUCGGGCAUUACUAGUGUUUUACACUACAUGCUCCUAUUGGCACAGAAACGCCAGAACACGUGCCAAGGGACAGUCAGCCCGUGGCGGUAAUGCAACACUUGCCAAUGCCAGCCGCCAUCAAAUUUGCGGAGUGAGAGAAGCACCCAUAUUUCGUAACCUUUCCAGUUUCCAGAAAUUACUGAAAAAAGGGUGCUUGCUUGUAAAAAAAAGAAGAACUGUGUUGAUAUUGUUAUCGGAUCACCAGAAGGCAUUGGCUAAUUGAGAUAAGCCCUCGGCGAUCCUCAGCAGAGAAUGGUUCGCUUAUUAUGCCGCUUUUCCACCGCACAUGUAGCUCGACUCGACUCGACACGACUCGAAACGGUAGCUGCACGGGUCGUUUUCCACCGCAAAUAGUACCUCCUGGACGUGGGCGGGGUCGGCUGCGCGAAAGGGCCGUGACGUAUUUUUGUACGCGACGCAAACAACACCUACGCAACCCACAUGGACAGAACCCACAUAACAACAAUGGAAGACAUCGAUAACAUUACUAUUAUUAGCUGGCAUUUUGAAGAAGUUGAAGAAGUGGAAUAUGUUGGCUGCGGCGCUGCUAUGGCUGUUACCAGCAUGGUUGCCAUGUCGCUCUCGUGACUUCGUCACACUCUCUGGCCAAUCAGUGGCCGGCCGUCUGCCGACGUCACAUUUUAGCAUCGGCUCAGCCGCUUGGAACCUAGAGCGAGGCGGUACUAGAAAAAGCAGCCACUUCAGGUACCAGAUACCAUGUUUUCUCGGUGGAAACGCAAAAAAUGCGAGCUGAGUCGAGUCGAGUCGAGUCGUGUCGAGCUGGUACCAUGCAGUGGAAAAGCGGCAUUAACUCUCCACUUAUGGAGGCCAUGAGCCGUAAAGCCUGCGGACUGAGAGGAUCUCCCUCAUUUCGGAACCUGUCUGGGGAAAAGGAUCUUGUUCUCAAACAAAAGAAGCUGCAUUGAUAUUAUGUCGGAUCACCCGAAAAGCAUCGGUGCGGUCCGAUAAACCGUCGCUGAUCUACGUCCUAGGAGGAGCCAGCCGUGCAGUCAGCGGUCCCCAAACGUUACUCAGCGAGACUAUUCACACGUCAAAAAAACCCUCUGUAAAGGUCCAUUCCAUUACUCGUUAUUGUUUAUGCAAAUUAUAUCAUUUCCCUUCAUUGAAUAAUAUCAAAUUAAUUAAUCAAAUGAAGAGCAAAACGCCAUGGAAGUGAGCAUGGCACAUCUUCUUUAGAAUUUGUUAUCUUCAUUCACAUUUUAAUUUGGUCAAUCGUUGAACAAAUAUGUUGGGAAAUGUGCGUUAGACUAGAUUAAAAUGCUUAUCAAUACGCAUUCUGAACAGAGAAAACCGUUCGGACUAGUGGAACAUGAGGUCGCUUGGUUUGUACCGAACCACGUUAUCUUCAAAUCGUAAUUAACAUUUAAAUAGCGCCGACAAUGUUCUGGUGCGUCUUGUACAAACGAAAACACACACACACACACACACACACACACACGCAAGCCAACAGGCACACACACACACACAACGAGAAAAACAAAACACAAUUGCGGCGAAAGGGUUUACACAACCCCCCCCCCGCUUCGACAAACUACAUCAAUAUCGGAACAUACACAAAAAAACAGUAAAUAUAAAUAGCUCAAGUAAAGUGGGAUGAGUCAUCGCACGGCGGCUCAUUCAGCUGCACGUAACAGGCCGUCUGUCACGUCUCGCACGGGGAAGUCACAGCGGCUAAUGCUAGUUAGCGUCCGUAGCGCCUGACCCACAGGUCUCCCUCGGUCCCCCGUUGGCGCCGCGGCUCCGACACAACACACACACACGCACCGUGUGUGUGUGUGUGUGUGUGCCCAUUAAUGUACACCAACUGGCCCUUCCUACCGAAGGCCCACUGUCACUUCC
ensembl:lncRNA